rnacentral:lncRNA from 1 species
AAAGAGGAGCCUGCUGGUCUGCUGGCGGGCAGGCGGCGCUGGGCCGGAGCCUCUCCCUCCGGUGCGCACAGCGCACCCUCUCCUCCCCCGGCCGCCCGUCGCAGCGCGGAGAGGGCGUGUCGGCACCCUGCCUGGCGAGCGCCCACCCCUACAAUGGCUGCGAGCGCGCGGGACGGAGGGUGCACCGCCGCUCCCCGGGGACUUGCACGGGUGGCGCGCCUAGCCCAGAGCCCGCUUGUAGUGAGCGCUCAGUAGGGCGGGAAAGCUGCUGCCGCUACUGCGGCCUUCUGAGAAGACGCCCAUUCUCUGAUGUCAGGACUGCAUCGCCGAGUCCUGAUUGCAAAUAGCGAAAUAUAUAAUUAAGGAGAGUUCGGGGGCGUAUCCUGCAAUGGGAUGCCGAGUUCGAUAAAGUUGCAGGAUGCUGGGAAAGUGGAUUGAUUUGCUGUUGCUAAAUGAAUGGAAACAGCGUUAGAGCUUCUGUCCACGAUCCAUCAGUCUAUCGAGAUUGCUGAUUGCCUAUGACUUGGACGGUUGAUGGUUUUCAGGCCCACUGAGAGCAGCCAGCGUUGGUAUAACCGCAGGGAGCCCUCCUGGGAGGUUGAACCUGCAGAGCGCAAAUGUGCCCAGGUUGAUUUGGGGCCUAGUGGUCCAUUUUCACAGCUCCACUGCCUAUCUGCAUAACCAGGAGCCCUCAUUCAGAUGAACGCCAAAUGGGCCAGAGGGAGGAGAAUCAAAUGAGCAACUUUUAAAAGAUAUUAAGACAUAGGCACCUAACUCCGGACAGUUCCUUUAACCCUUGAGCUAACCAUUUGAAGCACAAAACAUAACAAAAGAAAAGACUGGGGGGAGUGGGGCCAAAAGAAACCAAGUGCAAAAUUCUGUACACUUGUGUCAGAUUCACUCCGUAAUGGGAAAAGGUCUGGCUUUGAAAACUUUAUGGAUCAAAGGGAUGCAUGGAGUUACACAGCACAGCUGCAGAAGAUAAUGUUCCCCUGGAUCACUCUGCCCAACUCUUAACUGCAACCCACCUUCCCCAUCCGUCUCCCCGAAAUCACCCGGAAGGGUGUUACCUUCAGGAAGUAACUGAUCUCUUGAUCACCCCUGCUGGAUCCUGUCCCCAAGGGCGUUCGAAUGCAUCCGACUCAUCUUCACCUUGCCAAUAACGGGUGCUUGACACAUCGUUUGCUGCCAAUCAUUAUUGUGAUUUUAAUACUAUUGGUAUUCUAACUAUCAAGAUGACUGCUUGUAGAGCCAGAUUGCCUGGAUUCAAACUCCAGUUCACAACCUACUAACUGUAUGCCUUUAGGUAAACUCAGAUGCCUCUGAUGGAUUCGAAAUAACCAGAUAUAUUUCUGAAUUGCUUCAUAUGAAACAGUUGGGAAAAGAGAUUAAGGAAGGGAUGGUGCUGUUGGCUCCAGGCAGUGACUCAAGGAGGCAUUCAUGGUGAAAGAAGAAAGGCCUUUCUCAGGUGAUGCUUCAUCUUCCCCCACGUGCUCUGAUACCCUGUCCCUGCCUUGAUGUGUCUAUAAAUACAAACAGCAGGAGACCCGCAUCAGUAGACAAAGCAGGUGGCUGCAACCUAUUCUUCUUCCCAAUGGCCACUGGGACAGUUCCUCUCCCCCAGAACUUGUUGUUUAUAUUUAUUUUACACUAAAGCUAUUUUAACAUAAACCUGUUGAAAUAGGAGAGGGCUUCCCAUCUCACACCUCCACAGAUGUGUAUUUUCUAGAACAAAUUCAAGACUAAUCAUAAAAUGAAAACAGAUUUCCACAAAGUUGUUCUUUAUAAUGUAAAUUUUUUUCUGACAGGCAGCUUAAUACUUCAAAGGGCAACCCAUUCCUUUAUUGAUUAUAACUAAUUGUUUGAGAUUUUCUUUAGCAUGAGUUGAAAUUUUUCUUCCUUUGUCAAAGUGAAGGAAGGGACUUGUAUACAAGGAAGGUCCUUGUAUAAAGGACCUAUCAUCAAGGUACCAUCUCUCUUUAAACUUUAACUCCCAGAGGAGAAAUACCUAUAGCCACACAAUUCAUGUACUUUUUAGUCAUUGGAUCUCUAUGACUAUUAUCAUUAUAGAAACUGUUUUAAUAUAAUAAUAAUUUGAAAACUGGAUUUUAAGAAUACAAAUUUAGAAAUAGCAGUUCUCUCUAGAGACUCAUUCAUGAAUAUGGAAAGAUCUUUUAUCAGAUAAUUCCCCCCAGGGGUCCUUUAAAUAGCAAUCUCCUUCGUUUUGAUUCAAUUUGUAGAAAUCCCAUCUAGAUGCAUUACUGGACCACACAUUGUGUAAAGGAAGGUACAUUAUGUGUUGGGUAACCAUUUGGCUCUCUCUUUCUUCCCAACUUGUGACUAAUUGAUUUUGCCAUUAAUUGGGAUUUCCCCUGGAGGCCAUUUGAUCUGUUUGCAGGAUGAGCAGGGAGUUAGGGCAGUCCCUCCAGAUGGGACGGCUUUCAAUAAGCAGACAGUCCAAAGGGGCAUCAGAGUGAUACAGAAACGAUUAAUUGAAUAACUCACUUGAAAAUCAUGUGCUGCUUUAAAGACCUAAAAGCUAAGUAAAUACCUAAGUAAAGGCCAUACUGAUCAAGUAAGACUCCUUGUUGCAGCCUGGCUGAGAAUAAUGCCAGGAAAAAAAAAAUUUAAGAGCAUCCCAUUAAUGGAUUCUUUAAAAUACUGGAAGCAUGAUUCCAGGCAAUAACAUACUGUAAUCCCCAUAAUACUCACAUUUGCAUAACUCUAGAUAAUUUAUGAAGCAUUUUCGCAGAUACUGUGCAGAUCUCACACUGACACGGGGGUGGGUUGGCUGUGAAAGGGCUCAACUGGACUUACAUUCCAGGAGCAGAAACAGGCUUGGAGCUGUGGACUUCUCAGAGGCAUACAACUAGUAAGUGGCAGAAAUAUUACCAGAACCCAAAACUUCUAAUUCUAAAUUUCUUGACAACACACAGCACCAUCUCCCCAGUGCAUCACAGCUAAAACCACCUUACUGGACUCUGUUUUACCCUGGAGAAGAAAUGCAUACUGACUGAGGACUCUGCUCCAUGCCUGGCAAAAUAUUUGUAUUAUUUUUACAAGUAUGUUUUAGUUUUAUACAGAUAAAUACAAUUUUAAAUGGUUAAAGAUGGCCUCAUAUUUAAAAAGCACAUUGGGAGCCACUGUGUUAGAUUAUGCAGUGCAGACAUAGAGAACCAAA